UACUGUAGGGGGCUAGCGUUGUCCGGAAUCAUUGGGCGUAAAGCGCGUGUAGGCGGCCCGGUAAGUCCGCUGUGAAAGUCCAGGGCUCAACCCUGGGAUGCCGGUGGAUACUGUCGGGCUGGAGUCCGGAAGAGGCGAGUGGAAUUCCUGGUGUAGCGGUGAAAUGCGCAGAUAUCAGGAAGAACACCCGUGGCUAAGGCGGCUCUCUAGUACGGUACUGACGCUGAGACGCGAAAGCGUGGGGAGCGAACAGG
rnacentral:rRNA from 1 species